rnacentral:rRNA from 1 species
AGCUGGNUUAAGAGCUUGCUCUUAUGAAGUUAGCGGCGGACGGGUGAGUAACACGUGGGUAACCUGCCCAUAAGACUGGGAUAACUCCGGGAAACCGGGGCUAAUACCGGAUAACAUUUUGAACCGCAUGGUUCGAAAUUGAAAGGCGGCUUCGGCUGUCACUUAUGGAUGGACCCGCGUCGCAUUAGCUAGUUGGUGAGGUAACGGCUCACCAAGGCAACGAUGCGUAGCCGACCUGAGAGGGUGAUCGGCCACACUGGGACUGAGACACGGCCCAGACUCCUACGGGAGGCAGCAGUAGGGAAUCUUCCGCAAUGGACGAAAGUCUGACGGAGCAACGCCGCGUGAGUGAUGAAGGCUUUCGGGUCGUAAAACUCUGUUGUUAGGGAAGAACAAGUGCUAGUUGAAUAAGCUGGCACCUUGACGGUACCUAACCAGAAAGCCACGGCUAACUACGUGCCAGCAGCCGCGGUAAUACGUAGGUGGCAAGCGUUAUCCGGAAUUAUUGGGCGUAAAGCGCGCGCAGGUGGUUUCUUAAGUCUGAUGUGAAAGCCCACGGCUCAACCGUGGAGGGUCAUUGGAAACUGGGAGACUUGAGUGCAGAAGAGGAAAGUGGAAUUCCAUGUGUAGCGGUGAAAUGCGUAGAGAUAUGGAGGAACACCAGUGGCGAAGGCGACUUUCUGGUCUGUAACUGACACUGAGGCGCGAAAGCGUNNGAGCAAACAGGAUUAGAUACCCUGGUAGUCCACGCCGUAAACGAUGAGUGCUAAGUGUUAGAGGGUUUCCGCCCUUUAGUGCUGAAGUUAACGCAUUAAGCACUCCGCCUGGGGAGUACGGG